rnacentral:rRNA from 1 species
GACGAACGCUGGCGGCGCGCCUAACACAUGCAAGUCGAACGAGCGAGAGAGAGCUUGCUUUCUCGAGCGAGUGGCGAACGGGUGAGUAACGCGUGAGGAACCUGCCUCAAAGAGGGGGACAACAGUUGGAAACGACUGCUAAUACCGCAUAAGCCCACGGCUCGGCAUCGAGCAGAGGGAAAAGGAGCAAUCCGCUUUGAGAUGGCCUCGCGUCCGAUUAGCUAGUUGGUGAGGUAACGGCCCACCAAGGCGACGAUCGGUAGCCAGACUGAGAGGUUGAACGGCCACAUUGGGACUGAGACACGGCCCAGACUCCUACGGGAGGCAGCAGUGGGGAAUAUUGCACAAUGGGGGAAACCCUGAUGCAGCGACGCCGCGUGGAGGAAGAAGGUCUUCGGAUUGUAAACUCCUGUUGUUGAGGAAGAUAAUGACGGUACUCAACAAGGAAGUGACGGCUAACUACGUGCCAGCAGCCGCGGUAAAACGUAGGUCACAAGCGUUGUCCGGAAUUACUGGGUGUAAAGGGAGCGCAGGCGGGAAGGCAAGUUGGAAGUGAAAUCCAUGGGCUCAACCCAUGAACUGCUUUCAAAACUGUUUUUCUUGAGUAGUGCAGAGGUAGGCGGAAUUCCCGGUGUAGCGGUGGAAUGCGUAGAUAUCGGGAGGAACACCAGUGGCGAAGGCGGCCUACUGGGCACCAACUGACGCUGAGGCUCGAAAGUGUGGGUAGCAAACAGGAUUAGAUACCCUGGUAGUCCACACUGUAAACGAUGAUUACUAGGUGUUGGAGGAUUGACCCCUUCAGUGCCGCAGUUAACACAAUAAGUAAUCCACCUGGGGAGUACGACCGCAAGGUUGAAACUCAAAGGAAUUGACGGGGGCCCGCACAAGCAGUGGAGUAUGUGGUUUAAUUCGACGCAACGCGAAGAACCUUACCAAGUCUUGACAUCCUGCGACGGUUCUGGAAACAGAACUUUCCUUCGGGACGCAGAGACAGGUGGUGCAUGGUUGUCGUCAGCUCGUGUCGUGAGAUGUUGGGUUAAGUCCCGCAACGAGCGCAACCCUUAUGGUCAGUUACUACGCAAGAGGACUCUGGCCAGACUGCCGUUGACAAAACGGAGGAAGGUGGGGAUGACGUCAAAUCAUCAUGCCCUUUAUGACUUGGGCUACACACGUACUACAAUGGCGUUAAACAAAGAGAAGCAAGACCGCGAGGUGGAGCAAAACUCAGAAACAACGUCCCAGUUCGGACUGCAGGCUGCAACUCGCCUGCACGAAGUCGGAAUUGCUAGUAAUCGCAGAUCAGCAUGCUGCGGUGAAUACGUUCCCGGGCCU